rnacentral:rRNA from 1 species
GCAAACUGAAGAUGGCGACCGGCGCACGGGUGAGUAACACGUAUCCAACCUACCGAUAACUCCGGAAUAGCCUUUCGAAAGAAAGAUUAAUACCGGAUAGCAUACGAAUAUCGCAUGAUAUUUUUAUUAAAGAAUUUCGGUUAUCGAUGGGGAUGCGUUCCAUUAGUUUGUUGGCGGGGUAACGGCCCACCAAGACUACGAUGGAUAGGGGUUCUGAGAGGAAGGUCCCCCACAUUGGAAUUGAGACACGGUCCAAACUCCUACGGGAGGCAGCAUG